UGGAAAUCCAGAUAGAGCUCGCUCAGCUCUAUAUGCAUGCAUGGUCUCAAGAGUCAGAGCUCAGCGUCAUCUAUUCCCUUCACCUUCUCCUUGGCCGUCUCUGCGGCGUCCCGCGUGGCCCUCGCCGUGGCCGCCGCCGCCUGCUCCACCGUCUCCUUGCCCAUCUCGAAGCUCUUCUUAGCGGCGUCCCCCAGAGAGCCGACGGCACCAUCGUCGUCGUACCUUGGCACAACACAAAGGACGCACGCGGCGACCACGUCACACAACUACACAAGCAACGUACGCAGCAUGCAUGCAAGAAAUAAACCGAGAGACCAGCCAGCUAGUUCACAGUUCACACAUGGCAUACCGUGGCUCGUCGGAGCAGCGCGGCC
rnacentral:misc_RNA from 1 species